AAAAUAUUCAAAACUUUCAACAACGGAUCUCUUGGUUCUCGCAACGAUUAAGAACGCAGCGAAUUGCGAUAAGUAUUGUGAAUUGCAGAUUUUCGUGAAUCAUCGAAUCUUUGAACGCACAUUGCGCCCUCUGGUAUUCCGGAGGGCAUGCCUGUUUGAGCGUCAUUU
rnacentral:rRNA from 1 species